rnacentral:misc_RNA from 1 species
CACUAAACAUUCUUAUCAAGUCGAGCAAACGACCCAAUACCCUUGUUAUCGAUAAUCUAACCAAGAAAGGAAUUAUUUAACGUAAGGAAAAGAAAAGAGUGAAGAACAUUCUCGUCGGAUUCGAGUAGUUCGGUAAAUUUGGUGCACCACAAGGAGGCCGCGAAUACCACGAGUUCGCGCGAGUUUGUCAUCUAUCGCGCUUCUAGCCCGUGCCCAGUGGCCUUGAUAGAGAACAUCUGAUUCCCGAGACCCAGUGUACUUAAUUAAUAUAAAUCAUCGGGGCAUAUAUGAAAUAAUCCUCGGAGGCAUCUCAUUCGACUGGCUUAAUGGAGCUGACAAUAUUAGAUCGGCGCACCUUCGCGAACCCGCCGCCCUCGUAAUCGCCGUAGAUGCGGAAGGGAGGUCACUCUCCCUCGAGCCUACGUCGUCGCGCCUAACCCCGGUGUCCCGACAGUCGGUUAACCUUGAAUGCUCGCGAUCGCGAGUCGACGUCGAAGGUGACAGGGCGGCCCGCGAGGAGCUCUCUCAGGAUCGAUUCUCACAUCGCGGCGGCCGCGUGAGGUAUCAGCGGGGAGGUGGAGAGCUAACCUAAAAUGCGAGCACCCGUGAACGCCGACGUGACACUGCUGAUCGGCCUGCAGCUCCUCUCCUGGUGUUGCCGCGGGAUCCUUGCCAGCGGCGGAGCCCUCGACGUCACCGGCUUCCAGUCUGGCUCCUCCGGUGCCUCCAAAAUUCCUGCCUUCUCCUCCAGCCUCACCGAUGGCUUGGCUCAAGCGGUCGCGCACGAGGCUGGUACAGAAACUUGUAACGACGACUUAGCUUGCCUCACGAUGGCCUCCCAAGAUCGUCUCGGACUGGAAGCCAUUAAGUCACUCCAUAGUCAACUCGAUGACGAUGCUAAUGGAAACAUAGAUCUCUCGGAGUCUGAUGAUUUCUUACGAGAAGAAUUACAAUACGAGGCUGGCUACGAGAGGAGACAGCGAGCGUUCCAUCACAAUGACGAUAUGCACAUCAGCGUGCGAGAGCUGUGGGAAGCCUGGCUGCGCUCCGAGGUGCACAAUUGGACCAUUGAGCAAACAUCCGAAUGGCUGACCAGCAACGUCGAUCUGCCCCAAUAUGUUCCCACAUUCAUACAACAUCGGGUGACGGGUGCUACGCUCCCCAGGUUGGCAGUGAACAACAUGCAUUACUUAAGCAACGUGUUAGGAAUCAAGGACCCAAUCCACAAACAGAAGAUUGCCCUGAAGGCUAUGGACGUGGUAUUGUUCGGCCCUCCGAAAGACACGGGCCACAGUGUCAAGGACCUCGUACUGAUCACUCUGCUGUUCGGAGCCCUCAUUGGUUGCUGGUACGCCUACCAACAGAAGAAGAAUUCUCAAAAACACCUCCACAGGAUGAUGAAAGACAUGGAGAGCCUGCACAAGGCCGAGCUUGCCCUCGAGGAUCUGCAGAAAGAACUCGAGAGGGCCAGGAUGGAGCAGGAGAGUGCGGCUACGGAGAAGCAGAACCUGGAGAAACGGCUACAGGACGAGAGCUCAGGACUGCACACCUCCUACUCGGACCUCGAGGUCUCACAGUUGAAAGCAGAGAUAGAAAUGUUGAAGCUGGAGCUACAGCGCGCCGAGGGCGAACUGGAGGAUCGCUGUUGGUCUCCUCCGGUUGGAUUGCAGCAUUGGCUUCAGCUCACCCACGAGAUCGAGAACAAGGCGUACACGAAGAAGAAGAUCUCAGCGGAGAAGCAACUCCAGCAGGCGCGAGAAGCAUGUGAAAAAUUAAAGAAGAAGAGGUCCAGCCUAGUGGGUGCCUUUGUGUCGACUCAUGGCAAGUCAAUCGAUGAGGUCGACAGAAGCAUCGUCGAGGCCAGGACGGCGCUUAACGAAGUCACGGCCGAACUCCAGGAGCGAGUCCACCGUUGGAAGCAGAUCGAACUCCUCUGUGGGUUCAACAUCAUCAACAACAAUGGAUUGAAUUAUCUGGAGACCAUUCUAUAUAGAGGAGCGCCUAAUGGCAGGAACCUCGGGCUCAGAGGACGCAUGAGUAGCCAAGAUGAUUUAGACGACGAUGUAAGCUCACUUUACACCCCAUCCUCUUCCGGUGCCGCAGAUGGAAAUUCCGGCUUGAACGAUGCUCCCGAAUAGCGGUAAUACGCGCCACAGUAUUAAAUAGAAAUUGAGAGAAGGAGAAAAGAAACAGAGGAAGCCGGAGGGUCUGAAAAAGCGUUUCCUUUCGACCGUCUCCUUCCUGGAGGAUCGUUGAAAUACUCCUUACGAAGAGAGGAAGACCUGAAAGUGAAAGUGAAGUGUAGAACGUAAGGGCAGGAGUUUCGUCCGAAUAAUCCAAAAGGGGUUAGUUAAUUAAUCAGCGAGGUGCAAACAAUUAUUAUCUCGGUAUACUAGUAAGGAGGGAAUUUAUAUUAGUAUAUGCGACAGUGUAUCUUCACCGUAGAGGUGAACGGUGGUGAGUCCAUUUCAGGAAGUUUUGUCUAAGUUUUACAACGAGGCAAAAUCAAUGAAUAGAUAAAAGAAAUAACUAAUAUUGGAGGAAGUUGGACUUAAGACUGUUUACCUAUACGGGGUGGAUAUGUAAUACACGAUAAUGUAUAUAGACACUUAGAGGAAGUUGCGGAGAGACGUUUUGUAGGCAAUAAGUCUAUAUAGGUAGCCAGGUUUUCUGCGACAGGAUUCUCAAUGAUGUGACGCGAUAUGAGUUAACAAUCUCUCGAGGUAAUUGAGCGGGCGCAAGUAAUUGUACAGUGGCGGACAUGAAUGUCUUUCCUGCGGAUGUGGUGCAGGUGUAUGAUAAGAAGGCACUCGUACUCGGUUAUUCCCAUAAGUUCGCGGUAAAUUUGUGAAGGUUCGACAGGUUUUAUUUUCCCUACGAAACGAACCUUGCCAUCGGUUGACAAUGUAUCUUCCGACACUGUUGAUUCGUCACUUCUUGCCAAGUGGUCCAAGUAAAGAGUCUAAAUUGGAAUAAAAUUUAAAUUAAGAUUAGAUAAAAGAAAAUUAAAAUGUUAAUUGCAAGAAUGUAAUGUUAGAUUCUUAGAAAAAAAAAAAAAAAGAAGAAGAAGAAAGAAAAUUACUUAGGUCACUUUCAUGAUCAUCCGUACGAUUAUCUGUGAAGGGAAUUCUCUCUAAAAGGAAACACGACGCUGUGAGUUUCUCGCUCAAAAAUGUAUUUGGCUCGAAACUCUAUCGAGUUUCUUGGUUUGUCUGCGGAUGGAUGAAACGAUAUUCACCAGUGUACCCUGGGGGACAUGACUUCUCUUUGACGGUUUGGCGUUUUGACGGUACCAUAUCCGUAAAAAAGGAUUCAUACGAGCAGGGAACACGAAUUUGUGGUAUUCGAAGAGGGCACUGGUGGAUAUAAUUGCAGAGAAUUUAUGUGUAUACAUUCGCUAGUGCACACCUCGAGUAAUUAGAGUAGGUUCAAGAUGGACGAACGCCUCGAGAGGUCCACGUGAGGGAAUCACUUUAUAAUCGUGAUUAUGCGAUGAUAAAAAUCCUCGUGAGAAAGAAAGCAAUUUAUAAUCGUGAUUACUUGAUAACACAAAAAAUCCUCGCGAGAGAGAAACCAAUUUAUAAUCGUGAUUACUUGAUAAUUAAAAAAAUUCUUGCGAGGUAGGAAUCACUUUAUAAUCGUGAUUAUGCGAUGAUAAUAAAAAUCCUCACGAGGAAGGAAGGAAUUUAUAAUCGUGAUUACUCGGUAAUUAAAAAAAUUCUUGCGAGGUAGGAAUCACUUUAUAAUCGUGAUUAUGCGAUGAUAAUAAAAAUCCUCGCGAGGAAGGAAGCACUUUAUAAUCGUGAUUACUCGAUAACAUAAAAAAUCCACGUGAGAAAGAAAGCAAUUUAUAAUCGUGAUUACUAGGUAAUUAAAAAAAUUCUUGCGAGGUAGGAAUCACUUUAUAAUCGUCAUUAUGCGAUGAUAAUAAAAAUCCUCGCGAGGAAGGAAGCAUUUUAUAAUCGCGAUUACUCGAUAAUAAAAAAAAAAGAAAUCCUUGGGAGAAAGCACCUUAUAAUCACGAUUAUGCGAUAGUAUGAAUAAAUUCUUGCGAGGAAGGAAUCAUUUUAUAAUUGUGAUUUGCGAUGAUAAUAAAAAUCCUCGUGAGCAAGAAAGCAAUUUAUAAUCGUGAUUACUCAAUAACACAAAAAAUCCUCGCGAAAGAGAAACCAAUUUAUAAUCGUGAUUACUCGAUAAUUAAAAAAAUUCUUGAGAGGAAGAAAUUACUUUAUAAUCGUGAUUACUCGAUAAUACAAAAAAUCCUCGCAAGGGAGAGAGCAAUUUAUGAUCGUGAUUACUCAAUAACACAUAAAAUCCUCCCGAGAGAGGAUGCAAUUUAUAAUCGUGAUUACUCGAUAAUUAAAAAAAAUUCUUGCGAGGAAGGAAUGACUUUAUAAUCGUGAUUAUGCGAUGAUAA